UGAAUACGAGAUGUUACGGCGUCGAAGCAGUCUAUGUCAUACUUCCAAGAAAAGCUUGCACUGUCAUAAACAAAUAAUGCCUGUACCAUAACCGACACAGGUGGGUAGGUAGAGUAUACUAAGGGGCGCGAGAUAACUCUCUCUAAGGAACUCGGCAAAAUGACUCCGUAACUUCGGGAGAAGGAGUGCCUUAUUUAUAAGGUUGCAAUAACAAGAUCCAAGCAACUGUUUACCAAAAACACAGGUCUCCGCUAAGUCGUAAGACGAUGUAUGGGGGCUGACGCCUGCCCAGUGCCAGAAGGUUAAAGAAGUUGGUUGGCAUCCGCGAAGCUGAUAACUGAAGCCCUGGUGAACGGCGGCCGUAACUAUAACGGUCCUAAGGUAGUGAAAUUCCUUGUCGGGUAAGUUCCGACCCGCACGAAAGGCGUAAUGAUUUGGAUACUGUCUCGGAGAGGGGCUCGGUGAAAUAGACUUGUCUGUGAAGAUGCGGACUACCUGCACCAGGACAGAAAGACCCUAUGAAGCUUUACUGUAACCUGAAAUUGAAAUUGGACUUUACUUGCGCAGUAUAGGUGGGAGGCGUUGAGAAUAUUCUUGCGGGAUUAUUGGGGCCAUCAGUGAGAUACCACUCUUGUAAUGUUAGAUUUCUAACUUUGUAUCAUUAUCUGGUCAAAGAACAGUUUCAGGCGGGCAGUUUGACUGGGGCGGUCGCCUCAUAAACGGUAACGGAGGCGCACAAAGGUUUCCUCUGAACGGGUAGAAAUCGUAUCUAGAGUGUAAAGGCAUAAGGAAGCUUGACUGUGAGACCUACAAGUCGAGCAGGGACGAAAGUCGGUCUUAGUGAUCUGACGGUGCUGAGUGGAAAGGCCGUCACUCAACGGAUAAAAGUUACUCUAGGAUAACAGGCUGAUCUCCCCCAAGAGUUCACAUCGACGGGGAGGUUUGGCACCUCGAUGUCGGCUCAUCGCAUCCUGGGGCGGUAGUACGUCCCAAGGGUUGGGCUGUUCGCCCAUGAAAGCGGUACGCGAGCUGGGUUCAGAACGUCGUGAGACAGUUCGGUCCAUAUCCGGUGUAGGCGUUAGAAUAUUGAGAGGAGCCUUCUUUAGUACGAGAGGACCGAGAAGGACAUACCUCUGGUGUACCAGUUAUCGUGCCAACGGUAAACGCUGGGUAGCUAUGUGUGGAGUGGAUAACCGCUGAAAGCAUCUAAGUGGGAAGCCCACCUCAAGAUAAGUAUUCCC
rnacentral:rRNA from 1 species